CCAGCUUGAUUCUAGCUUUAUUGUAAAUUCUACCUCAACCCAGAUACAUGCAAAUAUUUAUGCCCCCGUAAAAUAUCUAAUAAUUAAGCUAAAAGCCUAUUUUUAGAAAAGUUUUAGAUACCUCCAAUAUACUUCUUUUACGCCUGCAGUACAUAACACUAAUAAUUGAAAACAUUCAAAAUUGGUUAGAGGAUAAUGGGCUGGUAAAAUUCGUGCCAGCUACCGCGGUUAUACGAUAAGCCCAAAUUUACUAUUCCGGCAUAAAAACGGUACUUUCUAUUAUACUUGAGGUAAUAAAAAAUUAAAGAGGUAUAAUUCAAUCAAUUAUAAUUUUACUUUUAAUCUCACUUUUAACAUCCGUGAAAGCUUAAACUAAAACCAGGAUUAGAUACCCAAUUAUUUUAAGCCUUAAAUCACCUUACCAGGGUACUACAAUUCCAUAAUUUAAACCCAAAGAAAUUGGCGGCAUUCUAACGUCCCAGGGGAACCUGUUGUUUAAUCCGAUAAUCCACGUUUAUCUUACUUCUUUUUGAAUACUCACAGCCUAUGUAUUGCCGUCGACAGUUAAUCUUGUAAAAGUUUUAAUUUACUUAAAAGCUCAACCGCCUUAACGUCAGGCCGAAAUAUAGCCUAUAAAGAAGGACACAAUGGGUUACAAUUCUACCACAAUAAAUUACUUUUCAAUAUAAAGUAACUAAAUAGGACUUGGAAGUAAAAUUAAAAAAUAAUAUUUUUUUGAAUUUAGUAAUCUAGAAUGAGUACAUAUCGCCCGUCGCCCUCGCCGAAAGGGGAGGUAAGUCGUAACAUAGUAGGCGUAACGGAAGUUGUGCCUAUUAA
rnacentral:ncRNA from 1 species